AAGACAUAAAUACUACUGAACCUCGUUUAGACGUCCUUAUCCACAACGCCGGUUACGCAGACCUUCUUAAAAAAAGAAAAUCAGCUGAUGAUAUUGAAUUAACACUGGCAACUAAUCAUUACGGACCUUUUUUACUAACUCAUUUAUUAAUUAAACUAUUAAAAAAAUCAUCACCAUCUCGUAUAGUAGUUGUCGCAUCUUCUUUGUAUCGCUUGGGAUAUUUUAAUAUUAAUAAUCCGAAUCCAGUGAAUGAUUUCUCCGGUUACCAAUAUUAUGUAUCAAAAGAGGCGAACAUACUUUUCACUAAGGAAUUAUCUAGAAGAUUAGAAGGCACAGGAGUGACUGUUAAUUGUUUACACCCUGGAUUAAUUGACACUGGUAUUUGGAACUCUAUUCCGAGACCUUUGUCUUGGUUCUGGAAUUUGGUUAUCAAAGGUUUCUUUAAAACACCAAUUGAAGGUUGUCAAACUACUGUCAUGUUGGCGGUAGACGAAGAUCUUUUGAAAACAACAGGGAAAUAUUUCUCAGAUUGUCAAGAAAGUUCCGUAUCGAAUACUGCAAGUGAUAUGAAAAGAGCAAAAAAAUUAUGGGAAAUAUCAGAAAAGAUGGUCAAAUUGGAUGAAAACGAUACUAGGAUUUAA